rnacentral:tRNA from 5 species
GCCCGAGUGGUGGAAUUGGUAGACACACAGGACUUAAAAUCCUGCGGCCUCAACAGUCGUACCGGUUCAAUUCCGGUCUCGGGCA